UACAGAGGUCUCAAGCGUUGUUCGGAUUCAUUGGGCGUAAAGGGUGCGUAGGCGGCGCGGUAAGUCGGGUGUGAAAUCUUGGAGCUUAACUCCGAAACUGCAUUCGAUACUGCCGUGCUUGAGGACUGGAGAGGAGACUGGAAAUUUACGGUGUAGCGGUGAAAUGCGUAGAUAUCGUAAGGAAGACCAGUGCGAAGGCGGGUCUCUGGACAGUUCCUGACGC
rnacentral:rRNA from 1 species